rnacentral:rRNA from 1 species
GCUCAGAACUCAAAGGAAUUGACGGGGCCGCGACAAGCGGAGGAGCAUGUGGUUUAAUUCGAUGAUACGCGAGGAACCUUACCUGGGCUCGAACGUAAGAUGACUGUAGGUGAAAGCUUACAUCUCUUCGGAGCAUUUUACGAGGUGCUGCAUGGUUGUCGUCAGCUCGUGCCGUGAGGUGUCGGGUUAAGUCCCAUAACGAGCGCAACCCCUACCUUUAGUUGCCAUCAGGUAAUGCUGGGGACUCUAAAGGAACUGCCUACGCAAGUAGUGAGGAAGGCGGGGAUGACGUCAAAUCAGCACGGCCCUUACGUCCAGGGCUACACACGUGCUACAAUGGCCGAUACAGAGGGCAGCUACCUGGUGACAGGAUGCAAAUCUCCAAAGUCGGUCUCAGUUCGGAUCGGAGUCUGCAACCCGACUCCGUGAAGUUGGAUUCGCUAGUAAUCGCGCAUCAGCCAUGGCGCGGUGAAUACGUUCCCGGGCCUU